rnacentral:rRNA from 1 species
GAUGAACGCUAGCGGGAGGCCUAACACAUGCAAGCCGAGCGGUAUUGUUUCUUCGGAAAUGAGAGAGCGGCGUACGGGUGCGUAACACGUGUGCAACCUGCCUUUAUCUGGGGGAUAGCCUUUCGAAAGGAAGAUUAAUACUCCAUAAUAUAUUGAACGGCAUCGUUUAAUAUUGAAAGCUCCGGCGGAUAGAGAUGGGCACGCGCAAGAUUAGCUAGUUGGUGAGGUAACGGCUCACCAAGGCGAUGAUCUUUAGGGGGCCUGAGAGGGUGAUCCCCCACACUGGUACUGAGACACGGACCAGACUCCUACGGGAGGCAGCAGUGAGGAAUAUUGGUCAAUGGGUGCAAGCCUGAACCAGCCAUCCCGCGUGAAGGACGACUGCCCUAUGGGUUGUAAACUUCUUUUGUAUAGGGAUAAACCUACCCUCGAGAGGGUAGCUGAAGGUACUAUACGAAUAAGCACCGGCUAACUCCGUGCCAGCCGCCGCGGUAA